GACGAACGCUGGCGGCAUGCCUAAUACAUGCAAGUCGAACGCUGAAGCACCCUGCUUGCAGAGUGCGGAUGAGUGGCGAACGGGUGAGUAACACGUGGGGAAUCUGCCUAUAAGUGGGGGAUAACAUUCGGAAACGGAUGCUAAUACCGCAUAUAUUCUUGGACCGCCUGGUCCUUGAAAGAAAGACGGCUUUGCUGUCGCUUAUAGAUGAUCCCGCGGCGUAUUAGUUAGUUGGUGGGGUAAAGGCCUACCAAGACAAUGAUACGUAGCCGACCUGAGAGGGUGAUCGGCCACACUGGGACUGAGACGCGGCCCAGACUCCUACGGGAGGCAGCAGUAGGGAAUCUUCCACAAUGGGCGAAAGCCUGAUGGAGCAAUGCCGCGUGAAUGAAGAAGGUCUUCGGAUCGUAAAGUUCUGUUAUUAGAGAAGAACAAGUCAAGGAAUAACUGUCGUGACUUUGACGGUACCUAACCAGAAAGUCACGGCUAACUACGUG
rnacentral:rRNA from 1 species